GAAUCCCCUUCAAUCGCCUUCCCCUGUCCCAGGGCGCUCCAGCCCGGCCUGGGGCACUCCCAGGGAUCCAGGGAUGGCCACAACCCCUCUGGGAAUUCCCUCCCAGCCAGGAAUUCCUUCCCAAAAUCCCACCUAUCCCUGCCCUCUGGGAAUCCAUUCCCUCCUCCUGGCCUUGCCCUCUGCCUGUGCCCCCAGCUCCAAUUCCAGCCCCAAUUCCAGGGUCCCUCUUUGCCCGGUGACGGGCGCUGGGCCAUCCUCGCUGCCACCCCCAGGGUUGUGUCCCUCGUGUCCCCUCCAGGCCGUGCCAGCUCCUGGUGCCCACCCCGGUGCCUCUGGAGGAUGGAAAACUGUCCCAGCAUCACCCUUACCCCACAGAGAUCCUAAACCUAAACCUAAAGGGAUUCCAGAAACCCAUUCUGCCUUUAGAACGGGGCAGGAAAUGGGAAUUAGGGGCAGGUUCUUAGGAGGGCUGAGCCAAUGGGAUCGGGAAGGUUGGGUGGAUGAUCCCGGUCUUUUUUACCCUGCAGAGAUCCUAAACCUAAACCUAAAGGGAUUCCAUAAACCCAUUCUGCCUUUAGAACGGGGUGGAAAGUGGGAAUUGGGGGCAGGCUCUUAGGAGGGCUGAGCCAACGGGAUCGGGAAGGUUGGGUGGAUGAUCCCAGCCCCUCUUACCCCGCAGAGAUCCUAAACUUAAACCUAAACCUAAAGGGAUUCCAGAAACCCAUUCUGCCUUUAGAACGGGGCAGGAAAUGGGAAUUAGGGGCGGGCUCUUAGGAGGGCUGAGCCAUGGGGAGAAACUAUGGGAUUGGGAAGGUUGGGUGGAUGAUCCCGGUGUUUUUUACCCCGCAGAGAUCCUAAACCUAAACCUAAACCUCCACAAGGGAGCUCCAUAAACCCAUUCUGCCUUUAGAACGGGGUGGAAAGUGGGAAUUGGGGGCAGGCUCUUAGGAGGGCUGAGCGAAUGGGAUCGGGAAGGUUGGGUGGAUGAUCCCAGCCUCUCUUAUCCCGCAGAGAUCCUAAACCUAAAGGAAUUCCAGAAACCCAUUCUGCCUUUAGAACGGGGCAGGAAAUGGGAAUUAGGGGCGGGCUCUUAGGAGGGCUGAGCCAUGGGGAGAACCAACGGGAUCGGGAAGGUUGGGUGGAUGAUCCUGACCCUUCUUACACCGCAGAGAUCCUAAACUUAAACCUAAACCUAAAGGGAUUCCAGAAACCCAUUCUGCCUUUAGAACGGGGCAGGAAAUGGGAAUUAGGGGCAGGCUCUUAGGAGGGCUGAGCCAUGGGGAGAACCAAUGGGAUCGGGAAGGUUGGGUGGAUGAUCCCAGCCCCUCUUACC